AUGACUCCCCUGCUCCCCCUCCUCCUCCUGGGCCUCCUCCUCGCCGCCGCCUCUGCCGCGCCCCUUCCCGCCGACUUCACCCGCCUCCUCGCCGCCAAGGCCACCCUCUCCGACCCCGCCUCCGCGCUCGCGGCAUGGGACCCGUCCCUCUCCCCCUCCCUCUCCCCGUGCCGCUGGCCGCACGUCCUCUGCCGGUCCUCCGCUGACCCAGCCAUCGCCUCGCUCCUCCUCUCCAACCUCUCCCUCGCCGGGGAGUUCCCGGCCCAGCUCUGCUCGCUGGCGUUCCUCCUGCGCCUCGACCUCUCCUACAACUCGCUCGCCGGCCCCCUCCCUCCCUGCCUCGCCGCGCUGCCGAACUUGAGGCACCUCGACCUCGCCGGGAACGCCUUCUCCGGAGAGGUGCCCAGCAGCUACGGCGCGGGGUUCGCCUCGCUCGCCACGCUCAGCCUCGCCGGCAACGACCUCUCCGGCGGGUUCCCGGCGUUCUUGGCGAAUGUCAGCUCCCUCCAGGAGCUCCUGCUCGCGUACAACCCCUUCGCGCCCUCGCCUGUGCCGGACGUUUUCCCCAGCGGGCUCCCGCGCCUCCGCGUCCUGUGGCUCGCCGGGUGCUGCCUCGUCGGGCGGAUACCGUCUUCCAUCGGCGGCUUGAGGAGCCUCGUCAACCUCGACCUCUCCACCAACAACCUCACCGGCGAGAUCCCGGAGAGCAUCGGGCGCUUGGAGAACCUCGUCCAGAUCGAGCUCUACAAGAAUAACCUCUCCGGGAGGCUGCCGGGGGGACUGGGCGGGCUCAAGAAGCUGAGGUUCUUGGACGCCGCCAUGAACAGGCUGUCCGGCGAGAUACCGGCGGACCUGUUCCUCGCGCCGAGGCUGGAGAGCUUGCACCUGUACGAGAACGAGCUGUCAGGCCCCGUGCCGUCGACGCUGGAUAAGGCGCCUGCGUUGAACGACCUGAGGCUGUUCAGUAACCGCCUCGUCGGGGAGUUGCCGGAGUUCGGGAAGAACUGCCCGCUCAAGUUCCUCGACCUGUCAGACAACCGGAUUUCCGGCUGCAUUCCGGCGACUCUCUGCAGCGCGGGGAAGCUGGAGCAGCUUCUGAUUCUGAACAACGAGCUCGCGGGCUCGAUUCCGACGGAGCUGGGGCAAUGCCGGACGUUGACGCGUGUGCGGCUGCCCAACAAUCGGCUGUCUGGAGCCGUGCCGCCGGACAUGUGGGGCCUGCCACGCCUGUACCUGCUGGAGCUCGCCGGCAACGCUCUGUCCGGCACCGUGGGGCCAACCAUUGCCUUGGCGAAGAACCUGUCGCAGCUGCUGAUAUUCGACAACCACUUCGCCGGCGUGCUGCCGGCGCAUAUAGGCAGCCUGACAAGGCUGGUCGAGCUGUCGGCCGCCAACAACGGGUUCUCCGGUCCUCUGCCGGCGACACUGGCUGAUGUGUCCACGCUCGCCCGGCUUGAUUUACGGAACAAUUCCUUCUCCGGCGAGCUGCCACAUGGUGUUCGACGGUGGCAGAAGCUUACACAGCUCGACCUUGCACAUAACCGUCUCACCGGGACCAUCCCACCGGAGCUCGGGGAGCUCCCUGUGCUGAAUUCGCUUGACCUGUCCAACAACGAGUUCACCGGCGGCGUGCCUUUGCAAUUGGAGAGCCUUAAACUGAGCAUGUUCAACCUGUCCAACAACCGGCUCGCCGGCAAUUUGCCUCCUCUGUUCUCCGGCGACAUCUAUAAUGACAGCUUCUUGGGCAACCCGGCCCUCUGUCGAGGCGCAUGCUUCGGUGCGCGGAGAGCAGCCGCCCGCCGCCACAGCCUCGUCGGGAGCGUCGAGUCCGUGCUCACCAUUGCCGUCGCCAUACUCAUCCUUGGCGUCGCGUGGUUCUGGCACAAGUACCGGAGCCAGAGCCAGCACAGGAAGCGCGGCCCGCAGCCCGGCGACAACAAGUGGGUAGUCACCUCGUUCCACAAUGUGGAGUUCGAGGAGGAGGACCUCCUGAGCUGUCUCGACGACGAGGACAACGUGGUUGGCACGGGCGCGUCGGGCAAGGUGUACAGAGCCGUCCUCGGGAACGAGGAUGUCGUGGCCGUCAAGAAGCUGCGGGCCGUCGGCGGCGCCGCCGCGGCGAGGAAACACAAGGACGGCAUGAAGGACAGCUUAGAGGCGGAGGUGGCGACGCUGGGCAGGAUCCGGCACAAGAACAUCGUGAAGCUGUGGUGCUGCCUCCGCAGCGGUGACCGCGGGCUGCUGGUCUACGAGUACAUGCCCAACGGCAGCCUGGGCGACCUCCUCCACGGCGGCAAAGGAGGCCUGCUGGACUGGCCGAUGCGGCGCAGGAUCAUGGUCGACGCCGCGGAGGGGCUCUCCUACCUCCACCAUGACUGCGCGCCGCCGAUCGUGCACCGGGACGUCAAGUCCAACAACAUCCUGCUGGACGCCGAGUUCGGCGCCAAGGUCGCCGACUUCGGCGUCGCCCGGGUCAUCGACGACAACCGCAGCGGCCCCAACGCCGUGUCAGCCAUCGCCGGCUCCUGCGGCUACAUCGCUCCCGAGUACUCGUACACGCUGCGCGUCACGGAGAAGAGCGACGUGUACAGCUUCGGCGUGGUGAUGCUGGAGCUGGUGACCGGCAAGAGGGCCGUGGGGCCGGAGCUCGGCGACAAGGACCUGGUGAGGUGGGUGCGCGGCGGCAUCGAGCGCGAGGGGCUGGACUCGGUGCUGGACCCGAGGCUCGCCGGCGAGUCCUGCAGCUGCAGGGACGAGAUGCGCAGGGUGCUCGGCGUGGCGCUGCUCUGCGCCUCCAGCCUCCCGAUCAACCGGCCGUCGAUGAGGUCCAUCGUGAAGCUGCUCCUCGAGGUCAGAAGCAAGCCCGCCGUGGUGGUGGAGGAGAAGGAACCUCUCGACGUGUGA
rnacentral:rRNA from 1 species